ensembl:lncRNA LOC120099033 uncharacterized LOC120099033
GGAUUAGGGACAAGAGGAGAUUGUGGUUCAGAUCAAGUGUUUCAGCAUAAACCUGUGGCAUCUCACCUGGCAUUCUUUCCCCAGGGGCUCUGUCAUUGCAGGGCCUUCCUCCAUGGGCUGGAGGGCUGGAAGGCAAGAUAUUCCCUGGAUCUUAGCAGCAGCAAGACUCUGAGGAAGUUCAGCCCCUGAGGUGUGGUCCUAGUUCAGGGAAGGGGAGAAUCAGCUUCGUGAAGACCUCUACCUUCCUUCCCCUGCUGGUCACUUUCCAGGAACUGUGAUGAAGAAAGACAGAUUUGUGAAGUAGCAAACACAGAUGUCUGUGACCUGGACAUGCCAGUUACCAACAAAAAACAGGAAUAAUCUUUCUAAGUGAACUAAAGGAGAAAAGCAAGUUGCUGGUGAAGCCCCAUAGCAUCCUCUAGAGAACAGAGUCCAUGGAUCGUUUCAGCAGCAGCAGCAGAGACACAGAACCGCUGAGGACUGCCCAGUGUUACUAAGCAGGGAGCUUUGUGUCAUCACAGAGGACCAUGUGAGAGCAUCACAGGAAUGCACUGAACUUGGAGACAGCUAGGAUUAUUCUCAAGAAAAAUCUCUAAAAGUCUCACUUUGAUACCACUGGCAAGGUUGAAACUGUGAAACCCAGUGAAAGCUUUUGAGAGGUGAAGACAAAGUGCAGAUAAACAGGUGUGUGUCUACAAGAUGAAUCUAGAAACCCAGAGGAGGAGGAGUGAGCCAUGGUCUGCAGAAUUGAUAAGUGCAGAUGGAGGGAUAGAGCCAGGCUGGCUGGAAGACAGCACAGCUUUAUUCUACCAAGACGGUCUCAGAUUGCCAGGAGCCGCUCCAGAAGCCAAAGCAAGGUUUGUCCCUCAUGCUGAACAACUGUUCUAGAACAUAGGAACUCUGUGGCCGUGAUGAUUCUAGAAGACAUGAUCUUGCUAUAACCACACCAGAGAACAGUUCUGUGGUCCCAGCCACCAGGCAGCCCAGUCAGUUUCUGUUCCAUGUAACUCUGGCGUAAGCACUGUUCGAAUUCUUCUGAUUGUCUAGAUAAUGUUUAUUAAGAUGCCCACCAGAGAAUCACUGACAUUCUGGGAGCCAUCAGUGCAGAAAAGAGUUAGCUUUUUGAACCCUCCACAGAAUUGGCCAACAGAAAGCUCCAAGCUGACAGUAACACGUCCCCAAGUCCUCUUUACUGAGGCACUUCUCAGUCCCCCGUGAUACAGUUUGGUCCUUGUCAAGACACCUCAGUAACCCAAGUCCAUCUGUCUCAACAUGCUCAGACAGCUAUAAAAACACUAACUAGGAAUCCUGUCAGAACCAGAAACUCAUUCCUUACAGCUCUGGAAAUGGUCUGUUCAAAAUGCAGGUUUGGAAUCUGCUGCAGACCUUCCCCUUAGAGGAGGUUGCUUUUGUAGUCUAACUCCAUGUUGGAGACAGGGUGGCGGUCUCUUUGCUGUUCCUUUGUAUAACGGCAAUAAUCCCAUUCACCAGGGCUCUGCCCCUUAUGAACUGUUCUAUCCAAAGCCUAGCUUCUUAAUACCAUCACCCAGGACAUCGGGGUUUCAGCAGAUGAACAUUGGUGGAAACACACUUGAAUCAUCAAAGGAAGUGCUUGUGGUGAGUUUCAACAUGGAAGGCAUUCACAGUCCAUGGAACACAAACUUGAGGGGCGUAGACUGCAGACCAGCUCCCGUGUCUCACACUCCAUUCUGUCCCCACAGUUAUGUCUCAUGGGCCUUAGAAUCUACCUAAAACCAGUUUGUGCUGCCAGUGUGAAUGUGGGCAUAGAGCCAUUCACUGGAGUGUGACAGCCUAUUAGGGGCCACACCCUUGAGGAAAAAUCACUCUCUGUCCCAGCAGCCAUCUUGUCUUAGGUAGAUCUUAUCAUUUCUUGUAGGCUUUUCUGAGUGACAUAUAACCCAAAGAUUCUAUCAUGUCUCCAUGGUAGGUUUCUUGCACAUUUGGUUUCUUGGGAUAGUAAGUCUGUUGUGAUCAUCCCUGAUAUCUUAUUACUGUUCCGCUGAUUUCUGUGGGGAAGUCACGAAGAAAGCACUGUGUCAUCUGUGAAGGUGGGACACCCAUUAUAGUGGGCCCCAAAAGUUACCCCUCCAAUCCUGCCUGAUCUUGCCUCGUUUCCUUGAUACUAUAUUGAACAACUGACAUGAAGAAAGACAUUAUUCGGUCACCGUCUCAUCUGCUUCUCACUUCCAGAGAAUGCUUAGAACAGCGGAAGUCCACUGGAGUGUCUUCUCAUUCCGUUCACUACUCUCAGAGCAAUAAAGAUGCGCAGUACUUGCUAUAGGCGGGCAUUGGUGUGAGUUGGAUCCUUCAAGCUUGGUAUCUUGAAGGUUAACAGACUUGGUUGUGGCCAUGCAACUUGGAAGUAGAAAAGAAGGGACUUGUCCCAGAGUGGUCUGUCUUCACAGGCCACACAUCUGCUCACCGGGGACACUGCUAUUCUAUUUCAUGUUAUCUUUACCUUGCUGAGCGAACAGAAAGUUCAAGGAUGCCAAGGUAACUUCGUGGUGUGGUCAUUACAACUUGCACCUGGGACCAGUGAUGAAAGUCAUUCAUCUUGGCGGCCUUCAGAUGUCCCUUGGCCAACCAGUCAAGGGCAGUGUUUAAUAAAUAACAUGUUGCUGCUGUUUCUGACCGAUGCAGCAUUGUCUGGAUUGUUACUAUGGAGCCAGAGAAGGAACAAGUAACUCACGCUGACUCGAAUCCGGCUGUUCUUAUGAGACAAGGUCCUUCUCACUUUCACCUGUAGCCAGACCUAGAUGGUUAAGAUAGCCUUAGACCCUCAUCCCCCAGAGUAUUAAAAAAUAC